rnacentral:rRNA from 1 species
GCAAGUCGAACGGUAACAGGAAGCAGCUUGCUGCUUCGCUGACGAGUGGCGGACGGGUGAGGUAAUGUCUGGGAAACUGCCUGAUGGAGGGGGGAGUAACUACUGGAAACGGUAGCUAAUACCGCAUAACGUCGCAAGACCAAAGAGGGGGACCUUCGGGCCUCUUGCCAUCAGAUGUGCCCAGAUGGGAUUAGCUAGUUGGUGGGGUAACGGCUCACCAAGGCGACGAUCCCUAGCUGGUCUGAGAGGAUGACCAGCCACACUGGAACUGAGACACGGUCCAGACUCCUACGGGAGGCAGCAGUGGGGAAUAUUGCACAAUGGGCGCAAGCCUGAUGCAGCCAUGCCGCGUGUAUGAAGAAGGCCUUCGGGUUGUAAAGUACUUUCAGCGGGGAGGAAGGUGUUGUGGUUAAUAACCGCAGCAAUUGACGUUACCCGCAGAAGAAGCACCGGCUAACUCCGUGCCAGCCGCUGC